AACCGUUGAUAUGCAGGGACUACCGGCCAUUGUGCACAUUAGCCACGACGUGGGACGAAGAGGGCUUUGAGGAUGUCUAAUACAAGCCCGAACAGCCCAGGACCUGACAGGAGAGCCCCAAGAAGGAACAUCGACUCCCAGGAUGGACCGGAUGUUUAUAUCUUAAUGUUUUGUAUUUGUAUUGUAUUGUAUUUUUUUGUUUAAUCUUACACUGUAUUGCAUUUGAAAUACAUCUUCCAUUUUAUUGUAUUGUGAAAAGAUCUUCCACUGUAUUGUAUUUCAUAUUCAUUGCCAUUGUAUGUUCUUGCAAUUACAUCAGCCAAUGUAUUUGCAAUAAAUCUUACACGGCAUUGUAUUUUAAAUAAUCUUCCAUUUUAUUGUAUU